GGGGGCGCACCGGUUUCGACUCAGGGUCUGAAACGCGGGCGGCAUGCCGAGGUUGAUCGGUUGGCCUCGUAAAAAGCCGGUCAAAAAAAUAAACGCAGAUCACAACGAUCUCGCUCUCGCGGCUUAAUUGACCGUGACGUGCCGGAGCCAACGCCUGCUAGGUUCCGGUGCGACGACAGCAGGCUGGUCCGUCGGCGGGGUGGCCGCGUUGACGGGCGACACUUUCGUGGCCGCUGUGGGAGUGCGUAGCAUGCCGGCAGGUAGCGCGCGACCGAGAUCCAAAAACCGGCUAAGCAUGUAGAAGCCUGCGCCGACGGUUCUGGGGACAGGGGUUCAACUCCCCUCGCCUCCACCU
rnacentral:tmRNA from 1 species